rnacentral:misc_RNA from 1 species
AAGUCGUAACAAGGUUUCCGUAGGUGAACCUGCGGAAGGAUCAUUAAAACGCGUCCACGUAUCAAAACCCCUCUGUGCAAACCUUCUUUGUAGGCUUUGAUUGGAGUUGUGCUUGCUCGAUCUUAAUGAUGGGAGUUUCAAAGAGAUUCGGGAUCUAUGAGCGGGAUCAGCGUGUGACAAUCAGCCGCUAUUCUCCUUUUAAUUUAACCCCUUGUACUUUUUAAUACUGAACCAAUUCUGUUUCGGCUUCGCGCUGAUACGAACGAUAUUACGAAACUAAAGAACAACUCCUAGCAACGGAUAUCUUGGUCCCC